GGCCGACUAGCUCAGCUGGUUAGAGUUUCGUGCUAAUACUCUGAGGUUUGGGUUCGAUCCCCAUGUUGGCUA